rnacentral:rRNA from 1 species
UACGGAGGGUGCAAGCGUUAUCCGGAUUCACUGGGCUUAAAGGGUGCGUAGGUGGAUCGGUAAGUCCGUGGUGAAAUCCCCGAGCUUAACUUGGGAAUUGCGCUCGAAACUACGGGGCUGGAGUGUGGCAGAGGAAGGUGGAAUUCCACGUGUAGCGGUGAAAUGCGUAGAGAUGUGGAGGAACACCAAUGGCGAAGGCAGCCUUCUGGGCCAACACUGACGCUCAUGCACGAAAGCGUGGGGAGCAAACAGG